rnacentral:rRNA from 1 species
AGAUUGAACGCUGGCGGCGUGCUUAACACAUGCAAGUCGAGCGGUAACGCGGGAGCAAUCCUGGCGACGAGCGGCGAACGGGUGAGUAAUGCUUGGGAAUCUGCCCAUUAGUGGGGAACAACCAGCCGAAAGGUUGGCUAAUACCGCAUACGCCCUACGGGGGAAAGCGGGGGAUCGAAAGACCUCGCGCUAAUGGAUGAGCCCAAGUCGGAUUAGCUUGUUGGUAGGGUAACGGCCUACCAAGGCGACAAUCCGUAGCUGGUCUGAGAGGACGACCAGCCACACUGGGACUGAGACACGGCCCAGACUCCUACGGGAGGCAGCAGUGGGGAAUAUUGGACAAUGGGGGCAACCCUGAUCCAGCGACGCCGCGUGUGUGAAGAAGGCCUGCGGGUUGUAAAGCUCUUUUGUGCGGGAAGAUAAUGACGGUACCGCAAGAAUAAGCCCGGCUAACUUCGUGCCAGCAGCCGC